rnacentral:rRNA from 1 species
CAGUAGCCGCGGGAAAACGUAGGGUGCAAGCGUUAAUCGGAAUUAUUGGGCGUAAAGCGAGUGCAGACGGUUACUUAAGCCAGAUGUGAAAUCCCCAAGCUUAACUUGGGACGUGCAUUUGAAACUGGGUGACUAGAGUGUGUCAGAGGGAGGUAGAAUUCCACAUGUAGCGGUGGAAUGCGUAGAGAUGUGGAGGAAUACCGAUGGCGAAGGCAGCCUCCUGGGAUAACACUGACGUUGAGGCUCGAAAGCGUGGGGAGCAAACAGGAUUAGAUACCCCGGUAGUCCCUGUCUCUUAUAC